GGGUUCCGAAGGGGGCUCUGUGGGGGACGCCUUUCCUUCUCUUAGCGGUGCGGAAGCUGGCGGCGGUCGGCGGCGGCGUCGAUGGUGUGAAGCUGUGUGUCACGUUUCUCCUCUCGUUACCGGGGCUGCUGCUUCUCAAAAAGAGAGAGGACAUGAAGGUUCGGUGGAAAGACUGGGUUUUGGAGAGAGACUGAGAGUGCAGACCUUGCAGCCGAGGGAGCAGAAGCGGAAGGAGUCGAGGAGGCUCCGAUUGCAGACUUCGCAGGUGUUGGUGACGCCCUUGCCGGGCCUCGGCUGUGGGCGCUUGUUGAGGAAGACGACACGGGCACUGUUGAUGAUGUACGUCUGCACGCCGGUGAUGUCCAGUACCUUCUGGAUCUCGGAAACUCUGAUCACGUCGUGGUAGGAAGACCUCCGUAUCUGCAAUCGAGAUCCCAUCAGAAGAGCCAACUUUAUGGUGGGGAGACACAGAGCCACUCCUAUGGGAGGCCAAGGAAACGCAAAGCAUGACUGAGAGAGACGCUUCAGAACAAACGGACCUGGAUUGCGCGGUGGCCGCGGUGGUGGGAGAGGCAGAGGGAGCAGAGAGCGCCGUUCGUGCAGUCAAGGCAGAACAUAUUGCACUCGCUCUUGUGAGAGUCAGCGUGGUGCUCGCAAUGGACGAAGAAGCUCGUCGACAGAAGCGGUCGCAGCCACCGCGGCCACCUACCCUUCUCCUCCGCCGUCCCUCCUCCGCCCUGUUCCAUCCCCCAUCAUCAUCAUCAGACAGAGCAAAAAAAGCCACCAACUUCGAAGCCAGCAACAAUCCUUUUGGGGAAACUCACCAUGAUUCGCCUGUUCUUGAUAUUUAGCUCUCUGAAUGGUGAUUCUUGAUUGACCGCCACCUUGAUCAUCACAAAAAUCCUUCCUUUCCUCUCUGCUUGCUUCCGCUGCUGGAAUCAGAGAGAUGAUAGAUAGCAGAAGUCUAAAGGACUCCGUUGACUCAGAGACAGAGAUGGAGAGAGAGAGAGAGAGAGAGAGAGAGAGAGUAAUGUGGGCUCGGAUGAGGAGAGAGUCGUGUCGUUCUUAUCCUUUCAGAUGAGUCUCAAUGCGUUGUUUUCGAGAAACACCUUUCUUCCUC